AUGGUGAUCACAUCAUCCGUGGAGGACAAGACUGCGCCCCCUUCUAGGAUGGUCCAAUCAGAAACCUGGGUCUCCUCUGCCCUGUUGCGCAAAAACAAGAGUGUAAGCAGCUCAGGAUGUCCACCCACCUCCUCCUCCUCCUCCUACUCCUCCUCCUCCUCCUACUCCUCCUCCUCCUCCUCCACUGCCCAGGGCUUCUCCCUCGCUGAGCCAGCCAUGACCAGCCAGCACACACAUACACAUCCCUCCUUCAGCUCCAUCCACUCCAUGGCCGAGCAGCAGCAGGUAACACUCACAGCAGCCUCUCGGCUGCUUCUAAGAUACCUUUUAUUUCAUUAAUCCCGCGUUUAUAAAUAGAAACACUCAUGAUUCACGUGUCAGUCAAGUGUAAGUGAGUCCAGAGACGAAG
rnacentral:lncRNA from 1 species